AAAAAUUUCGGCCGAGCUGACCGCAGCAGGUCGGCCGUCUCUUCGU
rnacentral:sRNA from 1 species